rnacentral:rRNA from 1 species
GUAGGGGGCUAGCGUUGUCCGGAAUCAUUGGGCGUAAAGCGCGCGUAGGCGGCCAGAUAAGUCUGGUGUGAAAGUCAAAGGNUCNACCCUUUGAAUGCCGCUGGAAACUGUCUGGCUAGAGUCCGGGAGGGGCGAGUGGAAUUCCUGGUGUAGCGGUGAAAUGCGCAGAUAUCAGGAGGAACACCAAUGGCGAAGGCAGCUCGCUGGAACGGUACUGACGCUGAGGCGCGAAAGCGUGGGGAGCAAACAGGAUUAGAUACCCUGGUAGUCCACGCUGUAAACGAUGGGCACUAGUGUGGGGGGUGUCGACUCCCUCCGUGCCGCAGCUAACGCAUUAAGUGCCCCGCCUGGGGAGUACGGCCGCAAGGCUA